rnacentral:rRNA from 1 species
UACGUAGGGGGCAAGCGUUGUCCGGAAUUAUUGGGCGUAAAGCGCGCGCAGGCGGUCAAUUAAGUUUGGUGUUUAAGGCUGAGGCUCAACCUCAGUUCGCACUGAAAACUGGUUGACUUGAGUACAGAAGAGGAAAGUGGAAUUCCACGUGUAGCGGUGAAAUGCGUAGAUAUGUGGAGGAACACCAGUGGCGAAGGCGACUUUCUGGGCUGUAACUGACGCUGAGGCGCGAAAGCGUGGGUAGCAAACAGG